rnacentral:lncRNA from 1 species
GAAGGUCUAAGCCAUUCUCAAGUGCAAGGGCCAUCAUCACUCUUCAGCUCCAGAAUGAUCCAAUCAAGCUUCUCUCUCAAAUCCUCACCAUCACUCUUGAAAGUGGGAAGGAUCCUCCUCCUCCACUCUCCGCUUGAGUUACCACUCCAACCUUUCCAUUGUAUAUACCAUUUUAUCUUUGCAUAUUGUUUUCCUUUGGGUAUCUCUCCCUUACUCACACAGAGACUGUGUGAUUUAAGUGUGGGGGAGGUACCAAGUAUUUGAUCAUGUUUGCUUUGAUGAUUUUGAGUCUCGUGCAUUGCAUUGUACAUACAUAUAUGAAUAGAAAACCAAAAAAAAUUCAAAUUUUUGAAUCAUGUAGUUGCAUCACUUGCAUUCUUAAGAUUGAGUCUAGAGCAUAUAGGAUGCAUUCACUUGCAUAUGGAGCAGCUGAUUGAUAUUGCCUUGUAUAGAACAUUGGUUUGCACUGAAUUUGACACCCUAGUUAAACAUAUCAAGUAGCUUAAGCAUCUUUUGAAAGGCUUGCAUGCUUCGAGCCUUGAAAACUCUUCUUGAAACUUAUUUGCUUGCUUGAUAUUGGCAUUGUUCUUAAGAUCAGCUCCAAUCUGAACUUGGCUUGAAUGAACUUAAUCUCUCUUGCGUAUGGGCACUUGCAUACUUGAUCAUGGAUCUCAUACACAUUUGGGUUAUCUUACUCCAUUAUACCAAUCUUUGUUAACCCAAAUGGCACUCCAUACCCUACAACUCUAGUCAUUCUUUGAGACCAAACAUUGAAUUGCAUGAGUGAGGCUUCUUUUGAUAGCUUGUCAUAUGCAAAAUCUUGAGAGUAUUGGAGGCGAAAUAGAUUUGUUAUCAUCUCUUGCUAGCAUAAUGAGCUAGCAUUUGGGGAUGGUGAGAGGGGUUCGUGUAUUCUAAAUGUUAAUAUUUUGGGUUUCGGGAGUGAGAAAGAUGAGAAAGAUUACCAAAAGAGUGUCAUUAGAAAAGAAAACUCUAGGGACAAAAGGAAAGUAUGAAGCUCUAAAUUAUGUACAAAAGAACCUUCCCGCUUAUUAAAAAAAAAAAAAGAGAAAAGAAUCAAAGAGAAGGUGGGGAGGGAAAUGAGAAAGAGUUAGAGCUAAGUGUUGUAAAAAGUGAAUUAAAGUCCCUAGUUGGUUGAGUCAAAAGAAAAAGAGAGUUGUUCAUUGGGUGAGUGAUGUGAGUGGGUGUUAUUUUGGUUUUGAGAUGAUGAUAAAAGGGUAGAACUUGUAAUCACUUAUUUUUUUGAACGAAUAAAAUGAUGAGAAUGAUGAAAAUGAAUCUAUGUAUGCAUGAGUUGCUUCUAGUCUUAGAUAAAUUUUGCAUAAUGAUCAAGCUCCUUGUUCUUGAGUGAUAACCACCUUGAAAUGACAACAUUUGAAUCCUUCUCUUCAUUCAUAUUAGACCAUUGUUUACCUAGCCAAAUGAUUGAGAUCAUGUGCCCGUUUGUGAGAAUUCACCUUGUGUGUGUGUGUGUGAAUCAAUGUGAGAGCUGGUUUAAAGAACUUGUUAGUUAAUGAGUAUUGCAAAUUGUGUAGAGACAUAAGAGUAUUUAUAGGCCUAGAGAAACUAGAGUAUAAUAAGAGAGUGUGUUCAUGCUAUUUGCUAUGUUUCUUUAGGAUGUCAAGUUGAGUGCAUUGAGUGUUUAUUUUGACUAAGAUCCCAUAUUUGUAUCUCUCCUCCUUGUGUUUUGAAAAGUUUACUUGAGGACAAGUAAAGGACUAGUGUGGGGGAGUUGAUAUCUUGCAUAUUUACAUGUUUUUAGCCUUCAUAU